GACGUACGCUGGCGGCGUGCUUAACACAUGCAAGUCGAGCGGAGCGGCGAACGGGUGAGGAACGCGUGAGUAACUGCCCCCCUCCCUGGGAUAACAGUUGGAAGCGGCUGCUAAUACAGGAUAGUGGGGGAUGACUCGGGUCUUAUUGGCUUGUUGGUGGGGUGAUGGCGUACCAAGGCGUCGACGGGUAGCCGGCCUGAGAGGGCGACCGGCCACAUAGGGCUGCGUUACGGCCCAAACUCCUACGGGAGGCAGCGGUGGGGAUGAUGGCACAAUGGGGGAAACCCUGAUUCAGCAACCCGCGAUCGGUAUGACGGCCUUCGGUUUGAAAACGGCUUUCAGCGAUUACGGGGUAGUGGCAGAAGAAGCACCGGCUAACUACGUGCCAGCAGCCGCGGUAAUUC
rnacentral:rRNA from 1 species